rnacentral:rRNA from 1 species
UGGGGAAUUUUCCGCAAUGGGCGAAAGCCUGACGGAGCAAUACCGCGUGAGGGAAGACUGCCUAUGGGUUGUAAACCUCUUUUUUCAGGGAGGAAUAAAAUGACGUGUACCUGAAGAAUAAGCAUCGGCUAACUCCGUGCCAGCAGCCGCGGUAAGACGGAGGAUGCAAGUGUUAUCCGGAAUCACUGGGCGUAAAGCGUCUGUAGGUGGUUUAAUAAGUCAACUGUUAAAUCUUGAGGCUCAACUUCAAAAUCGCAGUCGAAACUAUUAGACUAGAGUAUAGUAGAGGUAAAGGGAAUUUCCAGUGGAGCGGUGAAAUGCGUAGAUAUUGGAAAGAACACCGAUGGCGAAAGCACUUUACUGGGCUAUUACUAACACUCAGAGACGAAAGCUAGGGUAGCAAAUGGGAUUAGAUACCCCAGUAGUCCUAGCYGUAAACUAUGGAUACUAGAUGUUGAAC